CUGACUCAAUGUUGCUGUCAAGAAGUCUAUUGAAGAAGUAUAAAUGACAAAUUAAAAUUGUGUAUAUACACACACACACACACACACACACACGUAUACACACACAUAUAUAUAUACGAUGUACGACAUAUUGUUUUUAUGUAUACACUGUGAAAUGAUUACCACCAUCAAGUGAAUUAACUUAUCUAUCACCUCACAUAAGUAUUUUAUUUUUUGUGGUAAGAACAUUUAAGAUAACGCUCUUAGAAAUCUUUGGGUAUACAUUAUUAACAGUAAUUACCAUGUUCUACCAUUAGACCUCCAGAACUUACUCAUCCUAACGGAAACUUUGUACCCUUUAACCAGCAACUCCCUGUUCCCCACCACAACCCCUACUCCUGCAAUCACCAUUCUACUAUUUCCAUGAGUUCAACUUGUUUAGAGUCCACCUACAAGUGACACCAUGCAAUAUUUAUCCUUCUGCGCUUGGCUUAUUUCACUUAGCAUAAUGUGAGUCUCUUUUCUUCAUAUAGGUUUUUAUUCCAUUUAAAGUUCAAUUUGGUAUUUAAGAUUAAAAAAAAAAAACCACCUAACUUUCUAUUUUCUAAAAAGUCAAUAAAUUUUACCAGCAUCACAAAUUGAACAGGGAAUCCUUUCUCUAAUUAUGUGAAAUGCCAUAUUCAUCAUUAAUGAAAUAUGUACAUAUUAUGUAUUGGAAUUUGUUUCUGGACUUUAUAUUCUGUUC
rnacentral:lncRNA from 10 species